rnacentral:rRNA from 1 species
CCAGUACCGUGAGGGAAAGGCGAAAAGAACCCCGGCGAGGGGAGUGAAAAAGAACCUGAAACCGUGUACGUACAAGCAGUGGGAGCCUCUUAAUGGGGUGACUGCGUACCUUUUGUAUAAUGGGUCAGCGACUUAUAUUCUGUAGCAAGGUUAACCGAAUAGGGGAGCCGAAGGGAAACCGAGUCUUAACUGGGCGUUAAGUUGCAGGGUAUAGACCCGAAACCCGGUGAUCUAGCCAUGGGCAGGUUGAAGGUUGGGUAACACUAACUGGAGGACCGAACCGACUAAUGUUGAAAAAUUAGCGGAUGACUUGUGGCUGGGGGUGAAAGGCCAAUCAAACCGGGAGAUAGCUGGUUCUCCCCGAAAGCUAUUUAGGUAGCGCCUCGUGAAUUCAUCUCCGGGGGUAGAGCACUGUUUCGGCAAGGGGGUCAUCCCGACUUACCAACCCGAUGCAAACUGCGAAUACCGGAGAAUGUUAUCACGGGAGACACACGGCGGGUGCUAACGUCCGUCGUGAAGAGGGAAACAACCCAGACCGCCAGCUAAGGUCCCAAAGUCAUGGUUAAGUGGGAAACGAUGUGGGAAGGCCCAGACAGCCAGGAUGUUGGCUUAGAAGCAGCCAUCAUUUAAAGAAAGCGUAAUAGCUCACUGGUCGAGUCGGCCUGCGCGGAAGAUGUAACGGGGCUAAACCAUGCACCGAAGCUGCGGCAGCGACACUAUGUGUUGUUGGGUAGGGGAGCGUUCUGUAAGCCUGUGAAGGUGUACUGUGAGGUAUGCUGGAGGUAUCAGAAGUGCGAAUGCUGACAUAAGUAACGAUAAAGCGGGUGAAAAGCCCGCUCGCCGGAAGACCAAGGGUUCCUGUCCAACGUUAAUCGGGGCAGGGUGAGUCGACCCCUAAGGCGAGGCCGAAAGGCGUAGUCGAUGGGAAACAGGUUAAUAUUCCUGUACUUGGUGUUACUGCGAAGGGGGGACGGAGAAGGCUAUGUUGGCCGGGCGACGGUUGUCCCGGUUUAAGCGUGUAGGCUGGUUUUCCAGGCAAAUCCGGAAAAUCAAGGCUGAGGCGUGAUGACGAGGCACUACGGUGCUGAAGCGACAAAUGCCCUGCUUCCAGGAAAAGCCUCUAAGCAUCAGGUAACAUCAAAUCGUACCCCAAACCGACACAGGUGGUCAGGUAGAGAAUACCAAGGCGCUUGAGAGAACUCGGGUGAAGGAACUAGGCAAAAUGGUGCCGUAACUUCGGGAGAAGGCACGCUGAUAUGUAGGUGAAGCGACUUGCUCGUGGAGCUGAAAUCAGUCGAAGAUACCAGCUGGCUGCAACUGUUUAUUAAAAACACAGCACUGUGCAAACACGAAAGUGGACGUAUACGGUGUGACGCCUGCCCGGUGCCGGAAGGUUAAUUGAUGGGGUUAGCGGUAACGCGAAGCUCUUGAUCGAAGCCCCGGUAAACGGCGGCCGUAACUAUAACGGUCCUAAGGUAGCGAAAUUCCUUGUCGGGUAAGUUCCGACCUGCACGAAUGGCGUAAUGAUGGCCAGGCUGUCUCCACCCGAGACUCAGUGAAAUUGAACUCGCUGUGAAGAUGCAGUGUACCCGCGGCAAGACGGAAAGACCCCGUGAACCUUUACUAUAGCUUGACACUGAACAUUGAGCCUUGAUGUGUAGGAUAGGUGGGAGGCUUUGAAGUGUGGACGCCAGUCUGCAUGGAGCCGACCUUGAAAUACCACCCUUUAAUGUUUGAUGUUCUAACGUGGGCCCCUUACCGGGGUUGCGGACAGUGUCUGGUGGGUAGUUUGACUGGGGCGGUCUCCUCCUAAAGAGUAACGGAGGAGCACGAAGGUUGGCUAAUCCUGGUCGGACAUCAGGAGGUUAGUGCAAUGGCAUAAGCCAGCUUGACUGCGAGCGUGACGGCGCGAGCAGGUGCGAAAGCAGGUCAUAGUGAUCCGGUGGUUCUGAAUGGAAGGGCCAUCGCUCAACGGAUAAAAGGUACUCCGGGGAUAACAGGCUGAUACCGCCCAAGAGUUCAUAUCGACGGCGGUGUUUGGCACCUCGAUGUCGGCUCAUCACAUCCUGGGGCUGAAGUAGGUCCCAAGGGUAUGGCUGUUCGCCAUUUAAAGUGGUACGCGAGCUGGGUUUAGAACGUCGUGAGACAGUUCGGUCCCUAUCUGCCGUGGGCGCUGGAGAACUGAGGGGGGCUGCUCCUAGUACGAGAGGACCGGAGUGGACGCAUCACUGGUGUUCGGGUUGUCAUGCCAAUGGCACUGCCCGGUAGCUAAAUGCGGAAGAGAUAAGUGCUGAAAGCAUCUAAGCACGAAACUUGCCCCGAGAUGAGUUCUCCCUGACUCCUUGAGAGUCCUGAAGGAACGUUGAAGACGACGACGUUGAUAGGCCGGGUGUGUAAGCGCAGCGAUGCGUUGAGCUAACCGGUACUAAUGAACCGUGAGGCUUAACCUUACAACGCCGAAG